rnacentral:rRNA from 1 species
GAUGAACGCUGGCGGCGUGCUUAACACAUGCAAGUCGAACGGUGAACGAGGGAGCUUGCUCCCUCCGGAUCAGUGGCGAACGGGUGAGUAACACGUGAGCAAUCUGCCCUGGACUCUGGGAUAAGCGUUGGAAACGACGUCUAAUACCGGAUACGAGGCGUGGGGGCAUCCCCAACGCCUGGAAAGAACUUCGGUCCAGGAUGAGCUCGCGGCCUAUCAGCUUGUUGGUGAGGUAACGGCUCACCAAGGCGACGACGGGUAGCCGGCCUGGGAGGGUGACCGGCCACACUGGGACUGAGACACGGCCCAGACUCCUACGGGAGGCAGCAGUGGGGAAUAUUGCACAAUGGGCGCAAGCCUGAUGCAGCAACGCCGCGUGAGGGACGACGGCCUUCGGGUUGUAAACCUCUUUUAGCAGGGAAGAAGCGAAAGUGACGGUACCUGCAGAAAAAGCACCGGCUAACUACGUGCCAGCAGCCGCCGUAACAC